rnacentral:tRNA from 1 species
GCCUAGGUAACUCAGCUUGGUAUAAGAGUGCCAGACUCAUAAUCUGGAAGCCGCGAGUUCAAAAGCCGUGACGGCAAGCCGUCAAGAUUUGCCAGCAAGGCUGUCAAUCUCGCCCUAGGCA